rnacentral:lncRNA from 1 species
UUUUAAUGGGAUUGUACUAUAUAGGUUAUUUUGUAAAUUAUUUAAAAAAUAUUGACAAUGUACUUGAAAAUUUUUUUUAUAACAGAAUAUACAUGUAGCUCAUCCUAUCUAGUGAUUUUAUAGUACUCCAUGGUAUGAAUAUUUCAUUAUGCAUCAACUAUUAACCUAUUGUUGGAUAUUUAGGUUCAGUUCAGUUCAGUUCAGUUGCUCAGUUGUGUCCAACUCUUUGUGACCCCAUGAAUUGCAGCAUGCUAGGCCUCCCUGUUCAUCACCAACUCCCAGAGUUUACUCAAACUCAUGUCCAUUGAGUCGGUGAUGCCAUCCAACCAUCUCAUCCUCUGUCAUCCUCUUCUCCUCCCACCUUAAACCUUUCCCAGCAUCAGGGUCUUUUCAAAUGAGUCAGCUCUUUGCAUCAGGUGGCCUGUCAGGGAAUGUUUAAUUUUAAGGAAUCCUAUAUGUUGUUUUCUGUUUCUUAAGGGCCCUCUGUACCUUAUCAGUUCCUGGAAAACAGGAACCAGCAGAGGUGCCUGCAAUUCUCAGGACUGAGGUCAUGAGGCAGAAUGCAUACAUGGAUUCCUUUCAGUAACCUUUUACUUUCCUGUAAAACUACUUAUUCAUGUUCCUGUUUGCAAUACAUAGAUUGUCUUCUGGCCCUGUGAUGAUUGUUAUUCCCCUAGUUACUGUUGUUAUGUAUCUGGUUUCAGUGUUUUUUACUCAACUUUAUUUUUCUGCCUAAAGCUUCCUUGUAUAACAAUAUAUAAGCACACACUGCCAUGAAUAAAGUACCCUUGUUCCACUAGAGACUUGGGUCCCCCGCAUCCUUCUUUUCUUUGCCUUCUUUUCAUCGACUCCUGUCCCCAGGUCCUGGUCUAUCAAGAAGACCAUCAUAAGUGGCACCCGAACAGGGACCUGGAGUACGCCCUUGGCAAGUGGACGGAGUGACUGUGGACCUACUGAGGUUGGUAUUUUAGACAAAAGACUGGUGGAACCCAUCCUUAUUAUAAACAUGUCUCAGAGCAACUGCGAACUAGUGGUUGACUUUCUCUCUUACAAGCUUUUCCAGAAAGGAUACAGCAAUGCCAUCAAUGGCAACCCAUCCUGGCACCUGGAGGAUAGCCCUGCGGUGAAUGGAGCCCCUGGCCACAGCAGAAGCUUG